AGAGCAUUUGGUGAAUGCCUUGGCAUAUACAGGCGAUGAAGGACGUGGCACGCUGCGAUAAGCGUGGGGGAGCCGUGAGCAGGCUUUGAUCCCACGAUUUCCGAAUGGGGAAACCCAUCCUCACUAUUUAAUUUUAGCGCUGAGUAAUCAGUGUUGGAGUUAAAUAGGAAGGAUAUCACUUAGCUGAAUAAAAUAGGCUUAGUGAAGCGAACCCGGAGAACUGAAACAUCUCAGUACCCGGAGGAAAAGACAUCAACCGAGAUUCCGUUAGUAGUGGCGAGCGAACGCGGACCAGGCCAGUGCCUGGUGUUUAAUUAGCAAAAGCUUCUGGAAACUAGCGCCAUAGUGGGUGACAGCCCCGUAUGCGAAAAUGAAACAUCAGGACUUGAGUAGGGCGGGACACGUGUAAUCCUGUCUGAAUAUAGGGGGACCACCCUCUAAGCCUAAAUACUCGUAUAUGACCGAUAGCGAACUAGUACCGUGAGGGAAAGGUGAAAAGCACCCCGAUGAGGGGAGUGAAACAGUACCUGAAACCGAAUGCUUACAAUCAGUUGGAGCCUCUUUAUGGGGUGACAGCGUACCUCUUGUAUAAUGGGUCUGUGACUUAAUGUAUCAUGCAAGCUUAAGCCGUUAGGUGUAGGCGUAGCGAAAGCGAGUCUGAAUAGGGCGACUGAGUAUGAUGCAUUAGACCCGAAACCCGGCGAUCUAUGCAUGACCAGGUUGAAGGUGCGGUAACACGCACUGGAGGACCGAACCGUUCAAUGUUGAAAAAUUGUCGGAUGAGUUGUGCUUAGGGGUGAAAGGCCAAUCAAGCCGGGAAAUAGCUGGUUCUCCGCGAAAACUAUUGAGGUAGUGCCUCGGAUGUUUUCCGAUGGGGGUAGAGCACUGGAUGGAUGCGGGGGUCGCGAGAUCUACCAAUUCUAACCAAACUCCGAAUACCAUCGAGUUAGUCCGGGAGACAGACGGCGGGUGCUAAGGUCCGUCGUCAAAAGGGAAACAGCCCUAACCUACAGCUAAGGUCCCCAAAUCAUAUCUAAGUGGUGAAGCAUGUGGGAUUUCCAAAACAACCAGGAGGUUGGCUUAGAAGCAGCCAUCCUUUAAAGAAAGCGUAACAGCUCACUGGUCUAAAUAAGAGAUCCUGCGGCGAAAAUGUAACGGGGCUAAAGAUAUGUACCGAAGCUUAGGGUGUGCAAUUUAUUGCAUGCGGUAGCGGAGCGUUCCGUAGGCCGAUGAAGCGAUCUGGUAAUGGGUCGUGGAGGUAUCGGAAGUGCGAAUGCAGACAUGAGUAGCGAUAGGAGGGUGAGACACCCUCCCGCCGAAAGACCAAGGGUUCCUGCUUAAAGCUAAUCUGAGCAGGGUAAGCCGGCCCCUAAGACGAGCCCGAAGGGGGUAGUCGAUGGGAACCACGUUAAUAUUCGUGGGCCUGGUGGUGUGUGACGGAUCUCGUGAGUUGUCAGUCCUUAUUGGAUUGGACUGGCUUCGAAGAGGUUCCAGGAAAUAGCCCCACCGUAUAGACCGUACCCGAAACCGACACAGGUGGUCAGGUAGAGUAUACCAAGGCGUUUGAGAGAAGUAUCCUGAAGGAACUCGGCAAAUUGCCUCCGUACCUUCGGAAGAAGGAGGCCCUCACAUUGCGCAAGCAGUAUGAGGGGGCACAGGCCAGGGGGUAGCGACUGUUUAGCAAAAACACAGGACUCUGCUAAGUCGGCUUCAAGACGACGUAUAGGGUCUGACGCCUGCCCGGUGCUGGAAGGUUAAGAGGAGGAGUGCAAGCUCCGAAUUGAAGCCCCAGUAAACGGCGGCCGUAACUAUAACGGUCCUAAGGUAGCGAAAUUCCUUGUCGGGUAAGUUCCGACCUGCACGAAUGGUGUAACGACUUCCCCACUGUCUCCAGCAUAGACUCAGCGAAAUUGAAUUCCCCGUGAAGAUGCGGGGUACCCGUGGUCAGACGGAAAGACCCUAUGAACCUUUACUGCAGCUUCGCAGUGGUGCCAGGAAGGAACUGUGUAGGAUAGGUGGGAGCCAUCGAAACCCGGGCGCUAGCUCAGGUGGAGGCAACCUUGAAAUACCACCCUGUUUCUUUCUGGCAUCUCACUGAGCCCGGUCAGCCCGGGCCAGGACCCUGCGUGGUGGGCAGUUUGACUGGGGCGGUCGCCUCCCAAAGAGUAACGGAGGCGCGCGAUGGUGGGCUCAGG
rnacentral:rRNA from 1 species